rnacentral:rRNA from 1 species
GACGAACGCUGGCGGCGUGCCUAAUACAUGCAAGUCGAACGCAGGGGGGACGGGUGAGUAACACGUGGGUAACCUCCCAUCAGAGGAGAUAACACUUGGCAACAGGUGCUAAACCGAUACUGAUGUAGGGACCCGCGGGGCAUUAGCUAGUGGGUGGGGUAACGGCUCACCAAGGCCACGAUGCAUAGCCGACCUGAGAGGGCGCUCGGCCACACUGGGAAUGAGACACGGCCCAGACUCCUACGGGAGGCAGCAGUAGGGAAUCUUCGGCAAUGGACGAAAGCCUGACCGAGCCACGCCGCGUGAGUGAAGAAGGCUUUCGGAUUGUAAAACUCUUUUGGUAGAGAAGCGGUAUCUAACCAGAAAGCCCCGGCUAACUCCGUGCCAGCAGCCGCGGUAAUUC